GACUAGCCAAUUUCAUCCCAGUAGUUUAGCUAACUGCCCAAAUGACCAUUGCCUGACACUCAUUUUUUUAUACAUUCCUCCUUGGAAUCCAAAAAUUUUCCAUUAUUUAUCAACCACAUUUUAAAAUUUACUAUAUGCCUAAAGGGUGCAAAAGUGUAGGUGACCUGCAAUGAUGUGUUUUUAAAAUAGUUGAACCUCCUAUUCAUCUUACUCUGGAAUCUUUUAAUAUUUUUACCCUCAAAUCUAUAGAAUACCAUAUUUUUCAUGUAGGAAAGGAGAAAUUGUCCAGUAAAAUAAGGAGAGUGCUGAAUGGUAUUGAACCUCUAAGUUACUGAAGUUACAGGUGGUAGGAGCUGACCCCAGACAAUACCAAUAAACAAUAGUAGUAACAGGUAAAAUGUUUUGCAUUCUAAGAACGUCAUGUGGAUUGAGUCACAUAAUCCUCAUUAAAAAAUUCUUACUAUCCCCAUUUCACAGAUGGGGAAACUGAGGCAUGCAGAGGCGAAGUAUCUUACUCAAGUUCCCUUGGGAAGUAGUAUGGCAGUGGUAUUGAUGUGUGUCAGAUAUUGGUUACUUUGCUUGCACAACCUCUGGCUCCCCUGCUCCCCAUACUCCCAUGCACUCUAGGCUGAGCCCUUGCAGCUCCACAUGUCCACGUACAUUAGACUCUUACCUUCCCUCUGAGGCAGCUGGCGAUUAGAUCUACGAAUGGAUCAUCUCCAGGCUGGACUGAGCCAGCAUGUCCUUUCACCUGAGGCUGCUGGACUUCUCUCAGGGUUGGGGUGGCCCACAGGCACCUGAGCGAGGAGAAGAGGCCAGUAGGCUGACACAGAAGAAUCACCGAAGAGACCAGUGGGGAUGAGAGGACUCUUGGAGAGAAGGAAAGAGGAAACUGUCCUCGGUGUUUUGCACCCCCAGUUCUUCAUGGGGAGACCUAGCUGCUCUGUACUUCUUGCAGUUGAGUUUCCUAGAAGACCCCUAAGGCUUUCCUCUAAAACCUUUUUCUGUUUUUUCUUAGAUUUUUUUGAGUGUCUGAGUGAGAUUCUGCUAUAUACGACCAAGUGAUUUUUAAGAAAAUUGUGAUUCUUCUUUGAGGAACUUCCAUUCUGCUUCACCCCAGACCACUCUGAAUUGAUACACUAGACUAUGUCUUUGUUCAUGGGUUUCCAAAACAUCUAUUUUAUUCCCCCAGCACUGAUACUGUCAUCAAGAGGCAGGGUUGCCAAAGGCUAAAAACAGACGCCAAGUACUGCUUAGUAUGGACAAGAAUGGGAACGACUCUUUCAGACAGCAUAUGUCAGGGAUGAUUGAAUGAUUUCAAGAUACGGCAGUGGGCUUCUCCCAAAAUAGACAGAGAAGGAGGAGACCACAAGAGAGUGUGCCUAUCAAGAGGUAAGAUCACUGGGGACCAUCCUCCAGAACAAGUGGAAGGGAAGGAAGGAAGGAACAUUGGAAGUGAGUCGGGCAGGCUAUGAGAAG